rnacentral:rRNA from 1 species
GAGUUUGAUCAUGGCUCAGGACUAACGCUGGCGGCGUGCCUAACACAUGCAAGUCGAACGAGGUAGCAAUACCUAGUGGCAGACGGGUGAGUAACGCGUAGGUAAUGUGCCCUCCUGCGGGGGAUACCGUUCCGAAAGGGACGUUAAUACCGCAUAACAUACCUCAGGGGCAUCUCUGGGGUAUCAAACUUCCAGGGGUAGGGGAGCAGCCUGCGUCUAUCAGCUUGUUGGUGAGGUAACGGCUCACCAAGGCGACGACGGAUAACUGGUCUGAGAGGAUGACCAGUCACACUGGGACUGAGACACGGCCCAGACUCCUACGGGAGGCAGCAGUGGGGAAUA